rnacentral:lncRNA from 1 species
AGGCCAUGCUAGGCUGACCAUGGGAGGAGACAGAGAUGCAUUUGCACUUGUUCAUUUUUUGGGCCAAGAAGAACAAGCCUAAUACCUCUUCUAUAUGACCAUCCUUCAAAUAAUCGAAGAUAACCAUCAUGUCCCCUCCCCUUGAAUCUUCUUUUCUCAAGGUUAAACAACCCAAUUAUUUUGGCUUCUCAUAUGACAUCCAUCCUAAGCCCUAAGGAUCAUAUGUCUACAAACUGAGACAACUUUUGCCAUUUUCUAGUCCUGUGGCCCUUGUUCUUCACAACUCUUCAAAGAUCACUAACAAUGGCACAGCAGUCACUUCUUUAAGUUCUUUUAUUACCCUGGGAUUCAUAGAGGCUUGUGGACUUGAAGUCAUAAAAAUCAGCCUCAUCAUAGCAUUGGCAGCAUUUAACAGCUAAGGAA